GAGACGAGGAAAUAACUUCGGCGACGACAAUGACAAUGUCCAGACACCUUGCCAGACACUGUGAGGCCUGGUCAAGAAACCGAGUUUCCAGAUGAAUAUGAAGUGUAACCUCUGUCUUCAGAAGCUCCUAGCACCUCAGGGCACAAGGCACCCGUGUUAACCCUUCAGCAUCCUAGCCAUGGAAGGCCAAGCGGAAGAGGAAGUGGGCGUGGCCCAGUUUGGUAAACCCACGUAAGGAGAUGGAAGUGAGCUCUGCAGUGUCUCUCUCUUUUCCAUACCUUGUUUGAGCAUCAAGAGUACGUGGGAAGGGAGAAUACUAACUUCUGCUCUGCCUUUCAAAGGCGGAGGGUUUCCUGGGCAGAUUGUAUUAGCUUGUCUCCCGAGCGACUGUUCAUGCAGGUGUCGAUAUCAGAAACGCACACACAGAUGCGUGCCCCAGUAAGGCCUCAUAAGACCCAUUCUUUAUGGCAUGACGCAAGCCACAUCAAAACUGAGGACAGCGAUGGAUCUCUUCAGAAGUCUUCUGAAGGCACUCCUAGCUUCUCUCACUGCCUCUCAAAUACACGUCUCUAUGCCAGAUCCUUUCCUGAGGACCAGACAUGUACUCCUGCUUCCUGACCUGCUUGAGUUCCAGUCCUGAGUUCCUUUGGUGAUGAACAGCAAUGUGGAAGUGUAAGCUGAGUAAACCCUUUCCUCCCCAACUUGCUUCUUGGUCAUGAUGUUUCAUUAUAGCCAUAGAAACCCUAAGUCAACCAUGGUGCAUUCUGGACACUUUGUAGCUCUCUAAAUGGUACCAGCCCCUGGCACCUCUGGGAUAUUGUGUAUUCUAGCUAAGAAUUGGUUCAUUGUCAUCCACCUGUCCUGCUUCCAAUUUGGCUACCCUAAACUACAAUUCGGCAAUACGUUUCAGAAAAAAAAAUAUUACCUUUGUGAGAAAUGAACUGAAAGGCCCAUGAACUCAAGGGGAACGCAAAACUAGGCAAAUCAGAGCUUGAAGAGAUAUUUGGGAAACCCUCCUGCUAAGGACAUUGUUCUAAGCACAACUGUAUACCUCAGAUGUCCUCUAGCUUCACCAAGGGAAGAGAAGGUUUGCGCUCAAUCUCCUCGCCUCUGCAAAAUCUAAAAGAGCUGCCUUCUGUCCGGAGCCCAGAGAUCUGGUUGCAGUCAGAUGUUGGCAUUGUCAAGCAUGUCCUGUCUCAAAGUUGUGUAAAAAUUGUUUCCAUCACCUCUGAUUGCUUAAUAAGGAUUGGUCAGCCAAUAGCUGGGCAGGGGAGGAAGAUGAAGGACUUCUGAUCCCUGUGAGGGGUCUCAGGUGGAAAGAGGAGAGAGGAGAGGUGGGCACAGGAGGAUCCCCAGCAGAGGACGGGUGGAGCAGAGGCAGCCAAAGAUGGCAGAUAACGGGACUGGAUAGAUGGCUUGGCGGUUAGGAGCACUGACUGCUCUUCCAGAGGUCCUGAGUGCAAUUCCCAGCAACCACAUGGUGGCUCACACCAUCUGUAAUGGGAUCUGGCGCCCUCUUCUGGUGUAUCUGAAGAUAACAACAGUGUACUCACAUAAAAUAAAAAAAAAAAAAAUGGCCCCAUGACUGGGAAGUAGGCUAUGACAGCACAGUCAGGUCAGAACAAAUGAGACCCCUGGCCAACUAUAGUGGAAGAAGCUUGUGAAUAAAUAUACCGGAUCUCCUGGCCAUUACUUCUGAGCUAACAGGGUGUAGAAAAGCGCCAAACUUUCACAAGCGGCUAACAUUUUGCCAAUCUGCAAGCUCUGCUUGGCCCAGCACAAUGACUUGGGUUGGAAGACACCAUUAGCUUCCUCUAGUCCCAGGCCCAACACAGAAAAUGAACGAAGGGCACAGCAGCUCCCUUCUCCCUGAGGAAGAACGGAGUGGCUGUAGGACUAAGUGGAAGGUGUGGUUGUGUGUGUGUUGGGGGGAGGGGGUUUUCCCUGUAUAAAGCCUCCCCAUGGAGACUGUGGCAGUUGUAGGUUUUAUCCGUUGCCCAGGAAGCCACACAGAAGUAAGGAAGCAGAGAAAAUGGGCAGAGCUAUUCUGAACAAAGAAAUGAGAUAGAUCAUCAGAGUUGGGCCUCAAUAAAAUGGAAUCAUGUGAUUUAGCUGAAAGAGAAUCAAAAAGUAUAAAAGAGAAAAAAUGUUCUCGUUGGGUGAGGAAAAAUGUGGGUGAGCAAAGUGAAAAUUUCAAGAAAGGGAGAGGGAAACACUAAAACGAACAAAAGAAAUGGGACACAAUGGCUGAACCGGAAAUUCGCAAGUCUGAAAAGCAUCCAGGAGAUGUGACCAGUGAACCCAAAACACCUUCUGCCCUACGUGGGAACUACUCAUGGCUGUCAAUGGAUUUAUCAAAAGACAAAGAGAAGAACGUAUACUCAAAAUGCUAAGAGAAAUUACAAAAACACUAACCAAACAAAAGGAUUAUUCCUUAACUGGGCAUGGUGGUGCAGGCCUCUAACUCCAGGACUCAGGGAGCUGACACAGGAAGGUGGUAAGUCCAGGCUGGGCUAUAUUUAUAUUUAUUUAGAACAAACAAAUAAAUAAAUAAUACAUACAUACAUAGCUAUUCUUGAAAAUAUAACCUUCAAAAACACAGUAAAAAGAAUCUAGGAAGUUAAUGAAGUGGAAGUUUCGAGUCUCCUACCUAUAGAACAAUUACGAAGGCAGACCCUAUGGACUAGAUGAAAAAUAUGACUAAUUUCAGUCCGUUUCAGCUCUCAGCUUCACAACAGCUAUCUGUGUAGCUCCAGACAGUCAUACAUAUUACCUGCAGCAACCGUCUGUAGAGACCUUGACAGGUUGGAAAAGGGACCUGCAUUCAUACUCCAGUUCCUGACUUCUGCUUCUGACCAUACGGGUUUACACAAAGAGGCUGUAGCCACCGCCCCGCACACGUCUAUCUUCCCACUGCUAUACACCCUUCUCUCUACAACUGAGCGGAGUUUAUUUUUCUCGCUUUGUUUCCCCACCCCCACCUCCCACCCCCGCCCCAGUUAGGCGUGACAUCUUAAAGAUUAAGGUCUUAGAAAGCAACCACAUAUCAAAGGGAAACUAAACUCAGUUCAUCAGAGACUUGAAUCUAAGAUGACCAAGCAGAGAAGAAACGAUAAGGCCAAAGGGGGGCCACAGCCACGUGCAGCCUUUACCACGUGGUCUGUCCCCGGACAAGGCCGGAGAGUGCUUCAUUGUUCAGAAUCCCAGAGGCUGUCUGCAAAGCCAGUGCCUCGGAUGCUUGUGUUUCUCCAGCUCUGAGACUGUUCAAGCUGUGCUCCUCUGACCAAGGUGGCCAGGAAUCCAGCUCUUUGAGCUGGAAAAGGAGAGGGUAUGGGGCUGGAGGGAUGGCUCAGUGAUUAAGAACACUGACUGCGGGCUGGGGAUUUAGCUCAGUGAUAGAGCGCUUGCCUAGGAAGCGCAAGGCCCUGGGUUCGGUCCCCAGCUCCGAAAAAAAGAACCAAAAAAAAAAAAAAAAAAAAAAAACACUGACUGCGUUCCCAGAGGUCCUGAGUUCAAAUCCCAGCAACCCCAUGGUGGCUCACAAUCAUCUGUAAUGGAACCCGAUGCCCUCUUCUCUUGUGUCUAAAGACAAUGACAAGAGUGCUCAUAUAGAAUAAAUUAAUAAAUCUAAAUAUUAAAAAAAUCAAGUACUU